rnacentral:rRNA from 1 species
CCUACGGGAGGCAGCAGUGGGGAAUCUUGCGCAAUGGCCUAACGGCUGACGCAGCGACGCCGCGUGUGGGAUGAAGCUCUUCGGAGUGUAAACCACUGUUGCCCGGGACGAAUAGCUCGAUUAAUCGAGCCUGACGGUACCGGGUGAGGAAGCACCGGCUAACUCCGUGCCAGCAGCCGCGGUAAUACGGGGGGUGCGAGCGUUGUCCGGAAUCACUGGGCGUAAAGGGCGCGUAGGUGGUUUGAUAAGGGUGUGGUGAAAGCCCGGAGCUCAACUCCGGGUCUGCCGUGCCGACUGUCAAACUCGAGGACUGUAGAGGCAGACGGAAUUCCGGGUGUAGCGGUGGAAUGCGUAGAGAUCCGGAGGAAGACCGGUGGCGAAGGCGGUCUGCUGGGCAGUUUCUGACACUGAGGCGCGACAGCGUGGGGAGCAAACAGGAUUAGAUACCCUGGUAGUCCACGCCGUAAACGAUGGGUACUAGGUGCCUGGGGGAGCGACCCUCUGGGUGCCGGCGCUAACGCAGGAAGUACCCCGCCUGGGGAGUACGACCGCAAGGUUGAAACUCAAAGGAAUUGACGGGGGCCCGCACAAGCGGUGGAGCAUGUUGCUUAAUUCGAUGCAACGCGAAGAACCUUACCUGGGUUGAACUACGCAGGAAAAGCUGCAGAGAUGUAGUGUCCGAAAGGGCCUGCGAUAGGUGGUGCAUGGCUGUCGUCAGCUCGUGUCGUGAGAUGUUGGGUUAAGUCCCGCAACGAGCGCAACCCUUAUCCCAUGUUGCCAGCGGGUUAUGCCGGGGACUCGUGGGAGACUGCCGGGGUCAACUCGGAGGAGGUGGGGGAUGACGUCAAGUCAGCAUGCUCCUUAUGUCCAGGGCUGCAACAUGCUACAAUGGCCGGUACAAAGGGUCGCAAGCCCGCGAGGUAAGCCAAUCCCAGAAAGCCGGUCCUCAGUUCGGAUCGGAGUCUGCACUCGACUCCGUGGAAGUCGGAGUCCGCUAGUAAUCG